UGGCCGAGGGCACGUCUGCCU
rnacentral:siRNA from 1 species